rnacentral:tRNA from 1 species
AGGGAUAUAGCUCAGUUGGUAGAGUGCCUGCCUUUUAUGCAUGAGGCCCUGGGUUCAAUUCCCAGCACCACCA